GUAUUCCGCUCCAUAGCGUAUAUUAAAGUUGUUGCAGUUAAAAAGCUCGUAGUUGAAUUUCGGGGUUAGUAGGCUGGUCGUGCCACAGGUACGUACUGGUCUCACUGAUUCCUCCUUCCUGAUGAACCGUAAUGCCAUUAAUUUGGUGUUGCGGGGAAACUGGACUGUUACUUUGAAAAAAUUAGAGUGUUUAAAGCAGGCUAACGCUUGAAUACAUUAGCAUGGAAUAAUGAAAUAGGACGUUCGAUCCUAUUUUGUUGGUUUCUAGGAUUGACGUAAUGAUUAAUAGGGAUAGUUGGGGGCAUUAGUAUUCAAUUGUCAGAGGUGAAAUUCUUGGAUUUAUUGAAGACUAACUACUGCGAAAGCAUUUGCCAAGGAUGUUUUCAUUAAUCAAGAACGAAAGUUAGGGGAUCGAAGACGAUCAGAUACCGUCGUAGUCUUAACCAUAAACUAUGCCGACUAGGGGUCGGAUGAUGUUAAUUUUUUAAUGACUCAUUCGGCACCUUACGGGAAAC
rnacentral:rRNA from 1 species